GAUGAAGAACGUAGCGAAAUGCGAUAAGUAAUGUGAAUUGCAGAAUUCAGUGAAUCAUCGAAUCUUUGAACGCACAUUGCGCCCCCUGGUAUUCCGGGGGGCAUGCCUGUCCGAGCGUCAUUACAACCCUCAAGCUCAGCUUGGUGUUGGGCCCCGCCGCCCCGGCGGGCCCUAAAGUCAGUGGCGGUGCCGUCCGGCUCCGAGCGUAGUAAUUCUUCUCGCUCUGGAGGUCCGGUCGUGUGCUCGCCAGCAACCCCCAAUUUUUUUCAGGUUGACCUCGGAUCAGGUAGGGAUACCGCUGAACUUAAGCAUAUCAAUAAGCGGAGGA
rnacentral:misc_RNA from 1 species